UACAGGGGGGCAAGCGUUGUUCGGAAUUACUGGGCGUAAAGGGCCAGUAGGCGGCCAACUAAGUCCGACGUGAAAUCCCCAGGCUUAACCUGGGAACUGCGUCGGAUACUGGAUGGCUUGAAUUCGGGAGAGGGAUGCAGAAUUCCAGGUGUAGCGGUGAAAUGCGUAGAUAUCAGGAGGAACACCGGUGGCGAAGGCGGGUCUCUGGGCCGAUAUUGACGCUGAGGAGCGAAAGCGUGGGAGCGAACAGG
rnacentral:rRNA from 1 species